GGCGGACGGGUGAGUAAUACUUAGGAAUCUGCCCAUUAGUGGGGGACAACUCGGGGAAACUCGAGCUAAUACCGCAUACGCCCUACGGGGGAAAGCGGAGGACCUUUUGGGGCUUCGCGCUAAUGGAUGAGCCUAAGUCGGAUUAGCUUGUUGGUGAGGUAAAGGCUCACCAAGGCGACGAUCCGUAGCUGGUCUGAGAGGACGAUCAGCCACACUGGGACUGAGACACGGCCCAG
rnacentral:rRNA from 1 species